UACGUAGGGACCAAGCGUUGUUCGGAUUUACUGGGCGUAAAGGGCGCGUAGGCGGCUUAACAAGUCACUUGUGAAAUCUCCGGGCUUAACUCGGAACGGCCAAGUGAAACUGUCAAGCUAGAGUGCAGAAGGGGCAAUCGGAAUUCUUGGUGUAGCGGUGAAAUGACGUAGAUAUCAAGAGGAACACCUGAGGUGAAGACGGGUUGCUGGGCUGACACUGACGCUGAGGCGCGAAAGCCAGGGGAGCAAACGGG
rnacentral:rRNA from 1 species